UACGGAGGGUGCGAGCGUUGUCCGGAAUUACUGGGCGUAAAGGGCUCGUAGGCGGUUUGUCGCGUCGGGAGUGAAAACCCAGGGCUUAACCCUGGGCUGGCUUUCGAUACGGGCAGACUAGAGUACUGCAGGGGAGACUGGAAUUCCUGGUGUAGCGGUGGAAUGCGCAGAUAUCAGGAGGAACACCGGUGGCGAAGGCGGUCUGCUGGGCAGUAGCUGACACUGAGGCGCGACAGCGUGGGGAGCAAACAGG
rnacentral:rRNA from 1 species